rnacentral:rRNA from 16 species
GUCCGAAUGGGGAAACCCACCUGGUGUAAGCCAGGUAUCCUUAACUGAAUACAUAGGUUAAGGAGGCGAACUCAGGGAACUGAAACAUCUAAGUACCUGAAGGAAAAGAAAUCAAUUGAGAUUCCCCCAGUAGCGGCGAGCGACCGGGGAAAAGCCUGCAAGUGAUAGCAGUGCGGUUAGUGGAACGGUCUGGAAAGUCCGGCGAUAGAGGGUGAUAGCCCCGUACACGAAAACCGCGUUGUGAUACUGAGCUUGCGACAAGUAGGUCGGGACACGUGUU